UGUGUCCUACGGGGGGCAGCAGUGGGGAAUAUUGCACAAUGGGGGGAACCCUGAUGCAGCGACGCCGCGUGAGUGAAGAAGUAUUUCGGUAUGUAAAGCUCUAUCAGCAGGGAAGAAAAUGACGGUACCUGACUAAGAAGCCCCGGCUAACUACGUGCCAGCAGCCGCGGUAAUACGUAGGGGGCAAGCGUUAUCCGGAUUUACUGGGUGUAAAGGGGGCGCAGACGGCGAUGCAAGCCAGGAGUGAAAGCCCGGGGCUCAACCUUGGGACUGCUUUUGAAACUGAGUAGCUAGAGUGCAGGAGA
rnacentral:rRNA from 1 species